rnacentral:rRNA from 1 species
GACGAACGCUGGCGGCGUGCUUAACACAUGCAAGUCGAACGGAAAGGCCCUGCUUUUGUGGGGUGCUCGAGUGGCGAACGGGUGAGUAACACGAGAGUAACCUGCCCUUGACUUUGGGAUAACUUCAGGAAACUUGGGCUAAUACCGGAUAGGAGCUCCUGCUGCAUGGUGGGGGAUGGAAAGUUUCGGCGGUUGGGGAUGGACUCGCGGCUUAUCAGCUUGUUGGUGGGGUAGUGGCUUACCAAGGCUUUGACGGGUAGCCGGCCUGAGAGGGUGACCGGCCACAUUGGGACUGAGAUACGGCCCAGACUCCUACGGGAGGCAGCAGUGGGGAAUAUUGCACAAUGGGCGGAAGCCUGAUGCAGCAACGCCGCGUGCGGGAUGACGGCCUUCGGGUUGUAAACCGCUUUCGCCUGUGACGAAGCGUGAGUGACGGUAAUGGGUAAAGAAGCACCGGCUAACUACGUG